GGUCAUCACUGUUCCUUCCAUGCCAGCAACGAUUCUAUCAAUGGAGUCAUCAAUCUCUUUAGAUGAUAUCGAUGUCCGUGCUCGCCUUCCGGCCAAUAUAGCAGCCUCAUUCAAGAGGUUAGCGAGAUCUGCUCCGCUAAAUCCAGGUGUUCUCAUUGCUAUUAUUUCAAGUGAAACAUCAUUGUCGAACUUCUUAUUGCC